UUAAGCCUACGGGGCGCAGCAGUGAGGAAUAUUGGUCAAUGGGCGAGAGCCUGAACCAGCCAAGUCGCGUGAGGGAAGACGGUCCUAUGGAUUGUAAACCUCUUUUGCCGGGGAGCAAAAAGCGGUACGUGUACCGCAUCGAGAGUACCCGGAGAAAAAGCAUCGGCUAACUCCGUGCCAGCAGCCGCGGUAAUACGUAGGUGGCAAGCGUUGUCCGGAUUUAUUGGGCGUAAAGCGAGUGCAGGCGGUUCAAUAAG
rnacentral:rRNA from 1 species